GACGAACGCUGGCGGCGUGCUUAACACAUGCAAGUCGAACGGAAAGGCCCUGCUUUUGUGGGGUGCUCGAGUGGCGAACGGGUGAGUAACACGUGAGUAACCUGCCCUUGACUUUGGGAUAACUUCAGGAAACUGGGGCUCAUACCGGAUAGGAGCUCCUGCUGCAUGGUGGGGGUUGGAAAGUUUCGGCGGUUGGGGAUGGACUCGCGGCUUAUCAGCUUGUUGGUGGGGUAGUGGCUUACCAAGGCUUUGACGGGUAGCCGGCCUGAGAGGGUGGCCGGCCACAUGGGGACUGAGAUACGGACCAGAAGCCUACGGGAGGCAGCAGUGGGGAAUAUUGCAGAAUGGGCGGAAGCCUGAUGCAGCAACGCCGCGUGCGGGAUGACGGCCUUCGGGUUGUAAACCGCUUUCGCCGGUGACGAAGCGUGAGUGACGGUAAUGGGUAAAGAAGCACCGGCUAACUACGUG
rnacentral:rRNA from 1 species